UACGGGGGGAGCAAGCGUUGUUCGGAUUUACUGGGCGUAAAGGGCGCGUAGGCGGCCACCGCAAGCCGACUGUGAAAUCUCCGGGCUUAACCCGGAAAGGUCAGCCGAUACUGCGGGGCUAGAGUGCAGAAGGGGCAACUGGAAUUCUCGGUGUAGCGGUGAAAUGCGUAGAUAUCGAGAGGAACACCUGCGGCGAAGGCGGGUUGCUGGGUUGACACUGACGCUGAUGCGCGAAAGCUAGGGGAGCAAACGGG
rnacentral:rRNA from 1 species